rnacentral:rRNA from 1 species
CAAUAGCGUAUAUUAAAGUUGUUGCAGUUAAAAAGCUCGUAGUUGGAUUUCUGGCAGGAGCGACCGGUCACGCACUCUGUGCGUGAACUUGUGUUGUCUCUGGCCAUCCUCGGGGAGAUCCUGUUUGGCAUUAAGUUGUCGGGCAGGGGAUACCCGUCGUUUACUGUGAAAAAAUUAGAGUGUUUAAAGCAGGCUUAUGCCGUUGAAUAUAUUAGCAUGGAAUAAUAAGAUAGGACUUCGGAACUAUUUUGUUGGUUUGCGUUACGAAGUAAUGAUUAAUAGGGACAGUUGGGGGUAUUCGUAUUUCGUUGUCAGAGGUGAAAUUCUUGGAUUUCCGAAAGACGAACUACUGCGAAAGCAUUUACCAAGGAUGUUUUCAUUA